AUUGGGCGUAAAGAGUUCGUAGGUGGUUUGUUAAGUUUGGUGUUAAAUGCAGGGGCUCAACUUCUGUUCGGCAUCGGAUACUGGCAGACUAGAAUGCGGUAGAGGUAAAGGGAAUUCCUGGUGUAGCGGUGAAAUGCGUAGAUAUCAGGAGGAACAUCGGUGGCGUAAGCGCUUUACUGGGCCGUAAUUGACACUGAGGAACGAAAGCCAGGGUAGCAAAUGGGAUUAGAUACCCCAGUAGUCCUGGCCGUAAACGAUGGAUACUAGGUGUUGCGGGUAUCGACCCCUGCAGUGCCGUAGCCAACGCGUUAAGUAUCCCGCCUGGGGAGUACGCACGCAAGUGUGAAACUCAAAGGAAUUGACGGGGACCCGCACAAGCGGUGGAACAUGUGGUUUAAUUCGAAGCAACGCGAAGAACCUUACCAGGGCUUGACAUCUAACAAACACUUGUGAAAGCGAGUGGUGCUCUUCGGAGAAUGUUAAGACAGGUGGUGCACGGUUGUCGUCAGCUCGUGUCGUGAGAUGUUGGGUUAAGUCCCGCAACGAGCGCAACCCUCGUCGUUAGCUGGUAUUAAUGGUACACUGUUAAUAACCUCUCUAGCGAGACUGCCGGUGAUAAACCGGAGGAAGGUGAGGACGACGUCAAAUCAUCAUGCCCCUUAUGCUCUGGGCUACACACGUGUUACAAUGGCUGGUACAAUGAGUCGCCAACUUGCGAGAGUGAGCAAAUCUCUAAAAGCCAGUCUCAGUUCGGAUUGCGGUCUGCAACUCGACUGCAUGAAGUCGGAAUCGCUAGUAAACG
rnacentral:rRNA from 1 species